rnacentral:tRNA from 1 species
GGGCCCGUAGCCCAGUACGGAUUAAGGCGUCGGCCUCCGGAGCCGAAGACCAGGGGUUCAAAUCCCCUCGGGCCCGCCA